UUGUAGGUUCCCUCUGUCCCAAAUGGAAUCAAAAGGGCCCCCAUUAUUUGCUCAGGGAAUAACACAUUCCCCUACCUGCAGAGCUGCAACAACAGAUUUCACGAGGCCACACUCAUCUGAAUAUCAACAGUAACAAGUUGGAGAGUCACUCCAAAACAAAAAGAACGAAGAAACCCCCCCCCCCCUUAGUGUACAGUACAGCUGCAGCUGCAAAUGAUUUUUUUUUCUUAGGCUAGAAAUUCAAUUUACCUUCGAUUCGGUGCGAUCUUUCGCUCACUUUUUUUUCAUUUCAUAUUUAAGUAGUAGCAUAUUGUCCUUGCACCAAUACCUUCAUUCAAGAGUUUGUUUUUGGUGCAGAAAGCCUCAAAUUCAGGAUAACACAGAGAGAAUGAGUUUCAAGAAAAUUAUUCGGAGUUUUUUUUUUCCAAUAUUUGUUUCUAAUUUAGCCUCAUUUGCAAUCAAUUUCACUAUAAUUUCUUUU